rnacentral:rRNA from 1 species
GAGUUGUAAUUUGCAGAGGGCGCUUUGGUGUCGGCAGCGGUCCAAGUUCCUUGGAACAGGACGUCACAGAGGGUGAGAAUCCCGUACGUGGUCGCUGACCUACACCGUGUAAAGCCCCUUCGAC